rnacentral:rRNA from 1 species
CCUACGGGUGGCAGCAGUGAGGAAUAUUGGUCAAUGGACGUAAGUCUGAACCAGCCAAGUCGCGUGAAGGAAGACGGCUCUAUGGGUUGUAAACUUCUUUUAUACGGGAAUAAAGGUAUCCACGUGUGGCUAUUUGCAUGUACCCUAUGAAUAAGCAUCGGCUAACUCCGUGCCAGCAGCCGCGGUAAUACGGAGGAUGCGAGCGUUAUCCGGAUUUAUUGGGUUUAAAGGGUGCGUAGGUGGUUUGUUAAGUCAGCGGUGAAAGUUUGUGGCUCAACCUUAAAAUUGCCGUUGAUACUGGAAGACUUGAGUGUGGUUGAGGUAGGCGGAAUGCGUGGUGUAGCGGUGAAAUGCAUAGAUAUCACGCAGAACUCCGAUUGCGAAGGCAGCUUACUAAGCUACAACUGACAUUGAAGCACGAAAGCGUGGGGAUCAAACAGGAUUAGAUACCCUAGUAGUC